AACAAACGCUGGCGGCGUGCCUAACACAUGCAAGUCGUACGAGAAGUCGGCUUCGGCCGAUGAGUACAGUGGCGCACGGGUGAGUAGCGCGUGGGUAAUCUGCCCCCGGUCAGGAAUAACCCGCCGAAAGGCGGGCUAAUACCCGAUAACACUGACGCUCCGCGGAGCGUCUUUCAAAGGAGGCCUCUGUUUACAAGCUUUCGCCGGAGGAUGAGCCCGCGUACCAUUAGCUAGUUGGCAGGGUAAUGGCCUACCAAGGCUGCGAUGGUUAGCUGGUCUGAGAGGAUGGCCAGCCACACUGGAACUGAGACACGGUCCAGACUCCUACGGGAGGCAGCAGUGAGGAAUCUUGCGCAAUGGGGGAAACCCUGACGCAGCAACGCCGCGUGAGUGAGGAAGGCCUUCGGGUCGUAAAGCUCUGUCAGAUGGGAAGAAAUGGGUGGGGGCUAAUAUCGCCCAUCCUUGACGGUACCAUCAGAGGAAGCACCGGCUAACUCCGUG
rnacentral:rRNA from 1 species